AGAUUAAGUUAUUAAGGGCGCACGGUGGAUGCCUUGGCACUAGAAGCCGAAGAAGGACGUUACUAACGACGAUAUGCUUUGGGGAGCUGUAAGUACGCUUUGAUCCAGAGAUUUCCGAAUGGGGAAACCCAGCAUGAGUUAUGUCAUGUUAUCCGCAUAUGAAUACAUAGUAUGUGAGAAGGCACACCCGGAGAACUGAAACAUCUUAGUACCCGGAGGAAGAGAAAGAAAACUCGAUUCCCUGAGUAGCGGCGAGCGAAACGGGAAGAGCCCAAACCAAUAGGCUUGCCUAUUGGGGUUGUAGGACACUCAAUACGGAGUUACAAAGGAAAUGAUUAGACGAAUGGUUUUGGAAAAGCCAACCAUAGAAGGUAAAGGUCCUGUAGUCGAAAGUCAUUUCUCUCCUGAGUGGAUCCUGAGUACGGCGGAACACGUGAAAUUCCGUCGGAAUCUGGGAGGACCAUCUCCCAAGGCUAAAUACUCUCUAGUGACCGAUAGUGAACCAGUACCGUGAGGGAAAGGUGAAAAGCACCCCGGAAGGGGAGUGAAAUAGAACCUGAAACCGUGUGCUUACAAAUAGUCAGAGCCCGUUAAUGGGUGAUGGCGUGCCUUUUGUAGAAUGAACCGGCGAGUUACGAUUUGAUGCAAGGUUAAGCAGUAAAUGUGGAGCCGUAGCGAAAGCGAGUCUGAAUAGGGCGAAUGAGUAUCUGGUCGUAGACCCGAAACCAAGUGAUCUACCCAUGUCCAGGUUGAAGUUCAGGUAACACUGAAUGGAGGACCGAACCGACUUACGUUGAAAAGUGAGCGGAUGAGGUGUGGGUAGCGGAGAAAUUCCAAUCGAACUUGGAGAUAGCUGGUUCUCUCCGAAAUAGCUUUAGGGCUAGCCUCAAGUGAUGAUUAUUGGAGGUAGAGCACUGUUUGGACGAGGGGCCCCUCUCGGGUUACCGAAUUCAGACAAACUCCGAAUGCCAAAUAAUUUAACUUGGGAGUCAGACUAUGGGUGAUAAGGUCCGUAGUCGAAAGGGAAACAGCCCAGACCACCAGCUAAGGUCCCAAAAUAUAUGUUAAGUGGAAAAGGAUGUGGCGUUGCCCAGACAACUAGGAUGUUGGCUUAGAAGCAGCCAUCAUUUAAAGAGUGCGUAAUAGCUCACUAGUCGAGUGACACUGCGCCGAAAAUGUACCGGGGCUAAACAUAUUACCGAAGCUGUGGAUU
rnacentral:rRNA from 1 species